UUUUGUUAAUUUUUUUUUUUACAAUAUGAAAACCAUAAGUUUGUCCAAUACUUAUAGUCUAAUAAAAAACAAAGAAUAUGUGUUCACUGUAAUACCAAAUUUAACAUAUCGUCAGCAACAAGUACCUUAAGCAGACAUCUGAUAAAACAUGAAAUAUAUACACUUCUAAUGAUGAAAAUGAAAAUAUCUCCAAAAACACAAUCUACUCUUAAUUUAAAUAUGCCCUCCACAAGUACAAAAUCACUUUCUUCAAUACCAUUGGAUAAAUUCUAAACAGAUCAUAUGAACCAACUCAUUAUAAAAUGGGUAAAUGACAUAUUAGUAUGGUAGAAAGCCAAUAGUGAAAGAUUUCCAGUCCUCUCAUUAGCAGCUAGAAAUUUUAUAGCAAUUCAAGCAACAACUGUCCACUGUGAACAAAUAUUUUCGAAAGCAGGAAAUCUUGUCACUAAAAAAAGGAAUAGGCUUUCAAACAAAAUAAUACAAACUUUGAUGUGUAUGGGCUCUUGGUUAAAGAAUGGAAUAGAUCUACCGCCUCCAUUAAGUCCCUCUUCUAAUUCCUUCCAAGGAAGUUCUACAAACAAAGACAUUAGCAUUUAUUUAAAUUAAAUAUUUGUAUUAAUUAUUAUAUUAUUCAUAAUUAAUUUUAUAUUGUUUAUAUAAUACUCUUAUAUUUAA